rnacentral:tRNA from 1 species
GUUGUGGUUCAGUGGUAGAGCACUUGCCUAGCAAAUGUGAGGUCCUGGGUUCCAUCCUCAGCACCACA